rnacentral:rRNA from 1 species
UUAAGCGACUAAGCGUACACGGUGGAUGCCCUGGCAGUCAGAGGCGAUGAAGGACGUGCUAAUCUGCGAUAAGCGUCCGGUAAGGUGAUAUGAACCGUUAUAACCGGCGAUUUCCGAAUGGGGAAACCCAGUGUGAUUCGUCACACUAUCAUUAACUGAAUCCAUAGGUUAAUUGAGGCGAACCGGGGGAACUGAAACAUCUAAGUACCCCGAGGAAAAGAAAUCAACCGAGAUUCCCCCAGUAGCGGCGAGCGAACGGGGAGGAGCCCAGAGCCUGAAUCAGUGUGUGUGUUAGUGGAAGCGUCUGGAAAGGCGCGCGAUACAGGGUGACAGCCCCGUACACAAAAAUGCACAUACUGUGAGCUCGAUGAGUAGGGCGGGACACGUGGUAUCCUGUCUGAAUUAUGGGGGGACCAUCCUCCAAGGCUAAAUACUCCUGACUGACCGAUAGUGAACCAGUACCGUGAGGGAAAGGCGAAAAGAACCCCGGCGAGGGGAGUGAAAAAGAACCUGAAACCGUGUACGUACAAGCAGUGGGAGCCUCUUUAUGGGGUGACUGCGUACCUUUUGUUAUAAUGGGUCAGCGACUUAUAUUCUGUAGCAAGGUUAAACCGAAUAGGGGAGCCGAAGGGAAACCGAGUCUUAACUGGGCGUUAAGUUGCAGGGUAUAGACCCGAAACCCGGUGAUCUAGCCAUGGGCAGGUUGAAGGUUGGGUAACACUAACUGGAGGACCGAACCGACUAAUGUUGAAAAAUUAGCGGAUGACUUGUGGCUGGGGGUGAAAGGCCAAUCAAACCGGGAGAUAGCUGGUUCUCCCGAAAGCUAUUUAGGUAGCGCCUCGUGAAUUCAUCUCCGGGGGUAGAGCACUGUUUCGGCAAGGGGGUCAUCCCGACUUACCAACCCGAUGCCAAACUGCGAAUACCGGAGAAUGUUAUCACGGGAGACACACGGCGGGUUGCUAACGUCCGUCGUGAAGAGGGAAACAACCCAGACCGCCAGCUAAGGUCCCAAAGUCAUGGUUAAGUGGGAAACGAUGUGGGAAGGCCCAGACAGCCAGGAUGUUGGCUUAGAAGCAGCCAUCAUUUAAAGAAAGCGUAAUAGCUCACUGGUCGAGUCGGCCUGCGCGGAAGAUGUAACGGGGCUAAACCAUGCACCGAAGCUGCGGCAGCGACACUAUGUGUUGUUGGGUAGGGGAGCGUUCUGUAAGCCUGUGAAGGUGUACUGUGAGGUAUGCUGGAGGUAUCAGAAGUGCGAAUGCUGACAUAAGUAACGAUAAAGCGGGUGAAAAGCCCGCUCGCCGGAAGACCAAGGGUUCCUGUCCAACGUUAAUCGGGGCAGGGUGAGUCGACCCCUAAGGCGAGGCCGAAAGGCGUAGUCGAUGGGAAACAGGUUAAUAUUCCUGUACUUGGUGUUACUGCGAAGGGGGGACGGAGAAGGCUAUGUUGGCCGGGCGACGGUUGUCCCGGUUUAAGCGUGUAGGCUGGUUUUUCAGGCAAAUCCGGAAAAUCAAGGCUGAGGCGUGAUGACGAGGCACUACGGUGCUGAAGCAACAAAUGCCCUGCUUCCAGGAAAAGCCUCUAAGCAUCAGGUAACAUCAAAUCGUACCCCAAACCGACACAGGUGGUCAGGUAGAGAAUACCAAGGCGCUUGAGAGAACUCGGGUGAAGGAACUAGGCAAAAUGGUGCCGUAACUUCGGGAGAAGGCACGCUGAUAUGUAGGUGAAGCGACUUGCUCGUGGAGCUGAAAUCAGUCGAAGAUACCAGCUGGCUGCAACUGUUUAUUAAAAACACAGCACUGUGCAAACACGAAAGUGGACGUAUACGGUGUGACGCCUGCCCGGUGCCGGAAGGUUAAUUGAUGGGGUUAGCGGUAACGCGAAGCUCUUGAUCGAAGCCCCGGUAAACGGCGGCCGUAACUAUAACGGUCCUAAGGUAGCGAAAUUCCUUGUCGGGUAAGUUCCGACCUGCACGAAUGGCGUAAUGAUGGCCAGGCUGUCUCCACCCGAGACUCAGUGAAAUUGAACUCGCUGUGAAGAUGCAGUGUACCCGCGGCAAGACGGAAAGACCCCGUGAACCUUUACUAUAGCUUGACACUGAACAUUGAGCCUUGAUGUGUAGGAUAGGUGGGAGGCUUUGAAGUGUGGACGCCAGUCUGCAUGGAGCCGACCUUGAAAUACCACCCUUUAAUGUUUGAUGUUCUAACGUUGACCCGUGAUCCGGGUUGCGGACAGUGUCUGGUGGGUAGUUUGACUGGGGCGGUCUCCUCCUAAAGAGUAACGGAGGAGCACGAAGGUUGGCUAAUCCUGGUCGGACAUCAGGAGGUUAGUGCAAUGGCAUAAGCCAGCUUGACUGCGAGCGUGACGGCGCGAGCAGGUGCGAAAGCAGGUCAUAGUGAUCCGGUGGUUCUGAAUGGAAGGGCCAUCGCUCAACGGAUAAAAGGUACUCCGGGGAUAACAGGCUGAUACCGCCCAAGAGUUCAUAUCGACGGCGGUGUUUGGCACCUCGAUGUCGGCUCAUCACAUCCUGGGGCUGAAGUAGGUCCCAAGGGUAUGGCUGUUCGCCAUUUAAAGUGGUACGCGAGCUGGGUUUAGAACGUCGUGAGACAGUUCGGUCCCUAUCUGCCGUGGGCGCUGGAGAACUGAGGGGGCUGCUCCUAGUACGAGAGGACCGGAGUGGACGCAUCACUGGUGUUCGGGUUGUCAUGCCAAUGGCACUGCCCGGUAGCUAAAUGCGGAAGAGAUAAGUGCUGAAAGCAUCUAAGCACGAAACUUGCCCCGAGAUGAGUUCUCCCUGACUCCUUGAGAGUCCUGAAGGAACGUUGAAGACGACGACGUUGAUAGGCCGGGUGUGUAAGCGCAGCGAUGCGUUGAGCUAACCGGUACUAAUGAACCGUGAGGCUUAACCUU